rnacentral:piRNA from 1 species
UGAAGCCUUGCUCUUGUUUCCCCAGG